UUUUGUGAUUUUUACGCUGGAUCACGACAAAGAAUACCAAGGUUAUUCAUUCAUAUUAUUAUAUUUGAAGACAAAUUGUUUCUAAGCAAAUGCUUGAAAAUGCUUGAGAUUAAAUUGUAUCGCUUUUACUUUAAAAGUUAAAUACACCUGAACUGUAAUUGAGCAAUGAUUCAUUUUCAUACCACACUUUGUGAAUCGCUGACCUCCAUGUUCUUUCCCCAUCAGCAAUACCUCCCCCAAUCAUGUAAACUGGACUUUCAAUUGUCCAUCACGAUGACCUGGCUCCAAAUCCAGUCAUUUGACUCGCUCAUCCGAUUAUGGCCUAAUUGCUAUCCCGAAUCUUCCAUACAGCUAUAUAUAUUCCAACAAAAGCUUUGCCUUGCCUUCAAACAGGCUUUUCCUGCCCUGAGGAAUGCAUCAUUACGAGGUAGUCAUGUCUUGUCAACAUCUGCACUGCCUGACUAACUGACUAUUGUGAUUAGUGCAGAUUAGACCCUAAACAGGAAUUGAGCAAAAGUCACCGCCCGCUCAGUUACACGCACGGCAACCAGUUUUCAGUGGAGUGAAAAUGGACAGAGCUUGUUUAAGGAUUUUUAGUAAAGGUAGACAAUACCAGCCAAAGGGUGGAGUUCUAAGGUUGAAUCUGAUGACGAUAUGUCAAAGAUGAGGAUUUUGGAAUGCCAGAAGCAAUGUGUUUCAUCAUUCCUGGACAAGUUUGUCCAUGUCGCCACUAAUUUCAAUCAAGAGCUCAACCAGGACUGACUGGAGCUCAUACCUUGGACUUGUCUUGUCGCUGUCUUUUUUAAAAUUUUGUUGUCAUCCAUGGACAUUGAAAAAGGUAACCAGAAAAGUAGUUGGAAGUAGGAGUAAAAAUUGUUGACCGAUACUUGACCAUUUUGGUAUACAGUACUUUUGUACUUGUGAGCAGCAUGAGUCUGCUGUGUAAUACUCUCGAUGACUCAAUUUUUUGUUUUUGAUUUGUCCUAAUCAGACUAGAUCUUUGGAAUAUAACCAGUCAUAAACUAGAUAAGGAAAGUGCUAAAGGAGACAAACUGAAAGCUUUUUUCCUUGCAAUUGCUGGCAGACUUCAGGGUGAGACACCUUAACUUUUAGGUGCAAGACUGCCGCAGUGAUGGGGGAAUGGGAUUUUCUCAGCGGACUCUUCGAUCACCUUCAGGCCCACUCGCCCAUGCUGGGCCGCUUCUGGCUCUUGCUGAUGCUGGUCUUCCGGAUCCUGAUCCUGGGAACGGUGGCAAGUGACAUGUUUGAGGACGAACAGGAAGAGUUUGCGUGCAACACGCUCCAGCCGGGCUGCAAGCAAGUUUGCUACGACCAGGCUUUCCCAAUCUCUCAGUACCGCUUCUGGGUCUUCCAUAUCGUCCUCAUCGCCACACCGUCGCUACUCUUUCUCAUGUACGCCAUGCAUCAUCACAGCAAGAGAAAUGGCUCCAAAUCACCUAAAGACUAUAGGGAAAGCCGGCAGAUAAGGAUGUUCUACAUUGUUCACGUGGCUUUCCGGUUAGUCGCCGAAGUGGGAUUUCUAGUCGGACAGUGGUGGCUUUACGGCUUCAAGGUGGAAGCCCAGUAUCCUUGCGACCGUUUCCCUUGUCCCUACACGGUGGACUGCUUUACUUCGCGCCCAGCCGAGAAAACUGUCUUUCUCUGCUUCUACUUCGCCGUCGGGGUCCUGUCUGCCUUCUCCAGCUGCGUGGAGCUCCUCUACAGCUCUGUCAAGUGGUUCUGUUCCAGGCAGAAGCGCUUACCUACACUGAUUGACGAUAGCUACAAGUUGGAAAAGCCUCAAGAGAAGUCUUCGGAAAAUACAGUGUUGGACGGAGUGCCCAAGAAGACCAGGAAGGGGAGUAGCAAGAAGGGUAAAGGGAUGCCUUACAAGUACAAGAAUGGGAAGUAUGUGAAGGGCAAUGCUUUUGUGGUCUAAGAAAUUUUCUGAUAACUUGGAUCAAAAUUGAGAAACUGACAAAAACUAAGAACUGUACUAUUAAGAUGCUGUUAAUCACGAUUACGUUCAAUAUCAGAAGUGUCAAGAGUACUCAAGUACCAAUAUUUAUGUAGAACUAGAAGUGCUGCUCUUAAGGUUACUGCUGGCAAAUGAGACAAUUUAUCAAAUCUAAGGCUUGACUUUUACAUUUCCUUCCUUGUCCUGUUGAUGUCAUUUCCAACCAAAAUAUAAUUUUGUACCACUGCGGUUUUAAUUGAACCAGAAACAUUGACGCUAAUGACCACCAAUCUUCUGUCUCUGACUUUGUUAGCCAAACUCCAUGCUUAGUUGCACCCAUCCUGAACCGCGGCAAUUCCUGUGAUGUACCACAUGGUAAUUAUCCCCAUCAUUAAAGUUUUGUGAAGCCGUGGUGUCUCAUCUCACAUUACGUCUUGACUUUAAGGAUAACUGCUGCGAUAAGAAAAAAAACACCCAUCAGCGCAUCCUGACUUUUAUUGCUUUCAUUUUCACUUCCUUAGUGUGUUUUUAUAAAGCAACGGUCAACGGUCACGUUGAUUGGAACCAAAAUAAUUUUGUGUAAAGACUUGCUUGGGUGGUAGCAUUGCAACGGAUACAAAGUGGCAACUAACUAGAUAGCAAUAAACAUGCAAUCCAGUUGCCCAUCCCAAUCCAAAUGGAUUGCACAUCAACUGUAGCGAUUCAGCAAUAUUUUGAAAUUGCAUUCUUCAGACCACCUCCAGAGGGUCCCUAUCAGCGUCAGACAACGUCACGACGACAUCAGCAGGCAUCUUUUCAGUUAGUUUCUCUCGGAAAACCGCCAGAUAGCCACGUUCGCUGUUGCUGUGGUCACUGAGGAUGACGCUGGUUCCUUUGGCAACCACAUCCAACACCUCAUGGUGGGACAUUUCACCUUAAACCAAAGAAACUUGCAUAAAAAUUGCAAAGUAACUAGCCAGGAAACUGUUGAUGAAGCUCCACCCACCGGUGACGUAGAGGUCUGCUUUAACGCCAUUCAGCACCGAGGCUCCCGAUCCGGCACAGACGGCCACGGACCUGGACAGCCUUCUUACCUUGCGUGCGUCCCUGUCCAAGGGCCAAACGGAGGUGCCGCAAACCCAAGUGGGAUUUCAUUUUGUUCACUGCUAUUGCCACGGCGACCGGUUGGUCCAAAACACUGAGGCGACCCUGACCGUGUCCUGACCAGGGGGGCUAGACACAGUCAAAAGUGGGAAAACAAAAUCAGGUAUUCGUUGAAAUGUAUUUGACAGAUCACAUCACGGAGGAAUGAGACUCUUGCGCUGUACUCCGAUUACCAACUGUACUUUGCAAUUUUAUACUUUUGCUCAUUUUUGUACUUUGCAAUUUUAUAGUUUUGCUAAUUUUUGGGGGGAUAAAACAGGACUGAUACCAAGCAUUUUCAACUCUCAUGGAACAAUUUCCAUCGCAUUGCAUAAAAGAAACGAAGUAAAUGGUUGUCUGUGUUGCUUGGCCCUGCGCACGGACAUGGGUAAGAAGCCCCGGACUGCGGAGACCUAACUAAUACGACUUGUAUCUCACCUUUUCUGCCUUUACGAUGCGGAGAGACCUGUCACAAGCGAUGAUGUGUUUUGCGACUUUCUCAACAACCGCACCUAGGACUGAAGCUCUGCAGUAUAGGUUGACUUGAGUCUGGUCGGAACUACAACUGAAGACAAAUUGGGAAAUGUAUCACAUUCAGGGAUAUAAAAUGCUGCCUAAAGAGUUCAGCUGUUCAGGUACGAUUUUUUUAAAUACUGUAAAUUUUUGUUUUCUGGCAAAAAUUUUUUAGACAUUUACCAAAUUUUUGAAACUAUAAGGCACACUUAAAAUCAUUUAAAGCAACACUAGGUAACUUUUCAACCUUUAUAAAAUAUUUUCAUAACAUUUGUGAGAUGUCGACUGACAACUAGUUGAAUGACAUUUUUAUAUCUUGAGAGGGUCUAACGCUUUCACCGGUACUAAUUACGUAACUUUGAGGAGGGUGGCAGGAACCCUGCCACAAAAAAAAAAGUACCGUAUUGGCCCGAAUAUAAGACAGCCCUGAUUAUAAGACGACCCCCUAUAUUUCAAGACUUAAGUUUGGAAAAAAAAAAAAAGACUUUUUGAACACAAAAUUAAUUUUUAUACAGACAGUAAUUACAGUACAUCUGAAAUAAAUUAGAAUAAUAUAUUUAGAGAAAAAGUUAUUUUGCCUCAUUCAAAUCUUAAUCUCUUAACAUUUAAAUAUGUAAACUAAAGUGCAAUCACAUUCGUAAAUGAAUGGCUUCUGGUUUUUGAAAUGUAAAUAAACCAAUCUAUUGUGAUGAAACAACAAAAUUGGAAUAACUGCAUUAACCAUCAAAGUGAAGUCUAACUGUAACUGUAGUCUUGAAACAAAUCUGAAUAAGGAAAAGCGUUGCAAUAAAAUAAUGCAAACUGGUUAAACUUGAGAGUAGUUGAGAUCUGUCAUGACAGAACAUCGCUUCAAUGAUAUCUGGCGACAUCUAGCGUUGUGAAUGGGUAUAAUGUCUAAACCGCGAAUAUAAGACGACCUCCACUUUUGUAGUCUUAUGUCAAUGCAAAAAACACCUGCUUAUAUUCGGGCCAAUACGGUAUUACAAAUGUCCUAAAUGCGUUACGGCAUACGUCACUUCCCCCUCUCCCCAUUCAUUAUAAAAGAUAGAAUUCGAUGCGAACGCUUACAGAAUAAACAUUGGCUCGGCUUUCACUCGCUGGCUUGACGCCCCCUCCAACCGAACUCCUCGGCGCUGCCGAGUAAGGGUGGGGUGGUUUAGCCACACCAUUGCUAACCGUCAUAUGCUAUUGUUUAGCCACAACUGGAUUCAUUACCUUAUUAUUAUUCCUCCUUCACAUAGCCGCUGGAAACAGAAAUGUUUAAUCCAUCUGCAGGUGACCGGGAGAUUGAUAUUUGAUUGAUUGAUGAUUUUACGACACUGUGCGGGUGUGCGCUGGUCCACUUUGGAAACGCAGUCUUCCUUCAGGCACAACACUACCGCUUUUGUCCACCGGCGUCGCUAAAAUCGACCAAAUGUUACCAAGUGUUGCUUUAAUUUCAGCCAAAAAUAAGCGGUGAGCCUUAUAAUUCAGUAUAGUGUAUGAAAAUAGACCUGUUUUAAAUCUUUUAAAUCACAUAGCUACAAAAAUGGCAUAUGUACUGUAUUUCCAUGUAUCUAUUUCCACCAAUAAAACUCUAACAUGAACUGUGGCAUCUCCAACCUGAGUGGAUCUUGUACUAAAACUCCAUCCAAAGCCUGGAAUUGCUUCAGGAGAACAUCUAAUACAUUAUCUUUGCAUUGGAAUUCCACUAUGUGACUGUAAGGGAAGU